UACGGGGGGGGCAAGCGUUGUUCGGAAUUGCUGGGCGUAAAGGGCUCGUAGGUGGCCAACUAAGUCAGACGUGAAAUCCCUCGGCUUAACCGGGGAACUGCGUCUGAUACUGGAUGGCUUGAAUCCGGGAGAGGGAUGCGGAAUUCCAGGUGUAGCGGUGAAAUGCGUAGAUAUCUGGAGGAACACCGGUGGCGAAGGCGGCAUCCUGGACCGGCAUUGACGCUGAGGAGCGAAAGCCAGGGGAGCAAACGGG
rnacentral:rRNA from 1 species